rnacentral:rRNA from 1 species
GACGAACGCUGGCGGCGUGCCUAACACAUGCAAGUCGAGCGAACAGACGAGGAGCUUGUUGCUCGGUCGUUAGCCGCGGACGGGUGAGUAACACGUGGAUAAUCUCCCUAUCAGUCUGGGAUCAUUUCGGGAAACCGGAGCUUAUACCAUAGAAUAUAUUGCUCCGCAUGGUUCAAUGGUGAGAGACGGUUUUGGUGUCGCUUCUCGAUGGUUCCGCGCCGCAUUAGCUAGUUGGUGAGGUCAAGGCCUACCAAGGCAACGAUGCGUAGCCGACCUGAGAGAGUGAUAGGCCACACGGGAACUGAGACACGCACCAGACUCCUACGAGAGGCAGCAGUAGGGAAUCUUACGCACUGGUCGGAAGCCUGGCGGAGCAACGCCGCGUGAGUGAUGAAGGUCUUCGGAUCGUGAAGCUCUGUUAUUCGGGAAGAACACAUGUGUAAGUAACUAUGCACGUAUUGACGGUAACUAAUAAAAAAGCCACGGCUAACUACGUG